rfam:Ictidomys tridecemlineatus contig060050, whole genome shotgun sequence.
AAGGGUGGAGCUCAGUGGUAGAGUACUUGCCUAGCAUGCCUGAGGCCCUGGGUUCCAUCCAGCACCCUGA